UCCUACGGGGCGCAGCAGUGGGGAAUAUUGCACAAUGGGGGAAACCCUGAUGCAGCGACGCCGCGUGAGCGAAGAAGUAUUUCGGUAUGUAAAGCUCUAUCAGCAGGGAAGAAAAUGACGGUACCUGAGUAAGAAGCUCCGGCUAAAUACGUGCCAGCAGCCGCGGUAAUACGUAUGGAGCAAGCGUUAUCCGGAUUUACUGGGUGUAAAGGGAGCGCAGGCGGCCUAGCAAGUCUGAUGUGAAAUGCCGGGGCUCAACCCCGGAGCUGCAUUGGGAACUGUGAGGCUGGAGUGUCGGAGAGGCG
rnacentral:rRNA from 1 species